GCAUAUCAAUAAGCGGAGGAAAAGAAACCAACCGGGAUUGCCUUAGUAACGGCGAGUGAAGCGGCAAAAGCUCAAAUUUGAAAUCUGGUACCUUCGGUGCCCGAGUUGUAAUUUGGAGAGGGCAACUUUGGGGCCGUUCCUUGUCUAUGUUCCUUGGAACAGGACGUCAUAGAGGGUGAGAAUCCCGUGUGGCGAGGAGUGCGGUUCUUUGUAAAGUGCCUUCGAAGAGUCGAGUUGUUUGGGAAUGCAGCUCUAAGUGGGUGGUAAAUUCCAUCUAAAGCUAAAUAUUGGCGAGAGACCGAUAGCGAACAAGUACAGUGAUGGAAAGAUGAAAAGAACUUUGAAAAGAGAGUGAAAAAGUACGUGAAAUUGUUGAAAGGGAAGGGCAUCUGAUCAGACAUGGUGUUUUGUGCCCUCUGCUCCUUGUGGGUAGGGGAAUCUCGCAUUUCACUGGGCCAGCAUCAGUUUUGGUGGCAGGAUAAAUCCAUAGGAAUGUAGCUUGCCUCGGUAAGUAUUAUAGCCUGUGGGAAUACUGCCAGCUGGGACUGAGGACUGCGACGUAAGUCAAGGAUGCUGGCAUAAUGGUUAUAUGCCGCCCGUCUUGAAACACGGACC
rnacentral:rRNA from 1 species